CCUACGGGAGGCAGCAGUGAGGAAUAUUGGUCAAUGGACGGAAGUCUGAACCAGCCAUGCCGCGUGCAGGAAGACGGCUCUAUGAGUUGUAAACUGCUUUUGUACAAGGGUAAACCUGAAUACGUGUAUUCCGCUGAAAGUACUGUACGAAUACGGAUCGGCUAACUCCGUGCCUGCAGCCGCGGUAAUACGGAGGAUCCAAGCGUUAUCCGGAUUUAUUGGGUUAAAGGGGUGCGUCGGCGGUUUGAUAAGUGAGAGGUAAACUGUCCGAGCUUAACUCGGGAACUGACUCUAAUACUGUUGAUCAAGGGAGUAGAUGCGGUAGGCGGAAUGUAUGGUGUAGCGGGGAAAUGCUUAGAGAUCAUACAGAACACCGAUUGCGAGGGCAGCUUACCAAUCUAUAUCUGACGUUGAGGCACGAAAGCGUGGGAGCGAACAGGAUUAGAUACCCCAGUAGUC
rnacentral:rRNA from 1 species